AGGAAAUUUUUUUUAAAAAAAAAGAAACAAUCAUGAACCACCCCAAAUACCCAAACGCAAAAUCGAACCCUCUCUCUCUCCUCUUUCUUCAGCUUUCAGAUCUGAAAACUUCAUAUUGUAAACCUAAUUGUUCAUCACUAUCCUUUAUUCUUAUACAAUCUAAGCUAUCUUUUGAAACUGCCUGAAAUUUAGCGAAUUUGAGUCGAAAUCGUGGUAAUGUUCUUCCGCUCCUUGUUGAUUUUUUCAAUUGACGGUAAUUUCGUUCUUUUUCUCAUCAAUUUCCUUACUUGUGUGCAUAAAUAUCAUUCAGAUUGACUUUGUUAUAUUGAGUUGUUGUGAAAUUACAUUGAAUUUUUAGUUAUUGUGUAGUAGAAAGCCAUUGUAUUUAAAUCUAGGGUUUGACUGUAUGGCGUGUUGGGUGUAGGGGAUUUAGUGAGCGUUUUAGGCUAUAUACGCUUCAAUUAUUUAAGGUUUUGGUCUAACUAAGAAUCUCAGUUGUUGCAGAAUUUCAUUCGGUUUUGUUUUACUACUCAGAUAUGCCCUUUUCAUUUUCUGGGCUGGGUGUUACGCUAUGAACUCAGAAAUUGUGUAAAUCGGGUUUCAAAUUCAUGGGAUUUCACCAAUUAGGUAGAAUAUAAAUACAAUACCAUUUUACAUGAUUGUUUAGAUUUAGAGAUAUACCGUAUAUAAUAGAACAAAUGGAGUAUUAUAGUGGUGAUUAAUUGGUUUUAGAUAUCUGAGAAAGCAGAGAAGUUGCAUACAUUUCACCAUUCCAGCUUUUAUCACAAUUUUCUUUAUUUUUUAUUUACUUGGACCAAUCAAUCAUUUGAUGUUGCUGAAGAAAAAAGAACGACGAGCUUUCAAAGCUUUAUAAGUUUGCAUUGACUUAUUAUAAAUAUUAUCUGAAUUCUGAACCAACUUUGAUCUUAUUACUUUGGUUAAAAAACACAAUUAUUACAAGUUAUUUUCAAUUUUCAUCCAAAUAAGUUAAGAUACCAAGCUAAAUAUCUCAAAAUUCUCAUAAAAGAUGUGUUAGCAUUCCUGUUUUGGCAAGGUGAUGAAUUGCUUGGUUUUGUUGUGCAGUUGACGGUGGCUGGGAACACUUGAGCUUUAUUACCUUAAUGUUUAAGCUGUAGCUCGGGAUUAGAAGCUCAGUAAAAUAAGAAGUCAAAAUGACACUGUAGGAGAAGUGGCCCCUGUGAUGAAGAAGAAAUUUAGUCUUAAAAAGAGAGUAAGAAGACCGCGGGAUUGAAUAGCCGAGCUUGCUAAGUGUGAAAUAGUACUAAUUAUCCUCUCUAAAGAAAUUCAUCAUCAAUGAGGUCUGCUGCUCUCUUUUACACAUGUUUGGUUUCUCACCUGUCUUUGUUUCCCUAUUAUUCUGCGUGAAAGUCUGAAAUCGAGGUUUGAGCAAUGAAAUGAAAGUUUUAGAAUCAGUCUUAAAUUUGCUUGAUUCUAAAACUUUGCAAUGAAAGUUGUUGGUUUGAGCAAUUCCUCAAUUCUGGGUAAAUUAGCAAGAAAUAAAUGGAAUGUAAUUCCAAUUCCACAUGGAACAAUUCCUGAACCAAAAGGUCAAGACCUUGAUUUUGUGAAUGUAGCACAUAGCCAUCUUAUACACUCUGAUUGGGAAAAAUUGGAGAAAUUAUCAAGUGGUUUUACCCCAUUUAGAUUUAAGCAUGUAUUAUUGAAGAUUAAGAAGGAUUAUGUUCUUUCUUAUGAGUUUUAUAAAUGGGUUCAGCUCAAACACCCUAAGUUUCACAACCUUGAAACUCAUUCCAUGAUUCUCCAUGUUUUGACCAAACACCGGAAAUUUAAGUCUUCUCAAUCGAUUAUGAAGGAUAUAUUGAGUUCGCGGCGGUCUAUUUAUUUGCCAAGUCAGUUGUUUCAGGCUAUAUUGAACUCGUAUCGAUUGUGUGAUUCGUCUCCUCUUGUGUUUGACUCGCUUUUUAAGACGCAUGCCCAUAUGAAGAAGUUUAGGGAUGCUACCGCGACCUUUUGCCACAUGAAGGAUUAUGGGUUUCUUCCUACAAUAGAGUCUUGUAAUGCUUACAUGAGUUCAUUGCAUAGUUUGAAUCAGGAAAAAAUUGCAUUGGCUUUUUAUAAGGAGAUUCAGAAAAAUGGUAUUUUGCCAAAUGUUUAUACUAUGAACAUGGUUAUUUAUGCUCAUUGUAAGCUUGGUAGUUUGGAAAAGGCCUUGGAGGUGUUUCAGGAUAUGGCAAGUAUGGGUAUCUUUCCUACUGUAGCAUCACAUAAUAUACUUAUUUCUGGGUAUUGCAAUAAGGGCUUCUUCACCUCUGCCGUGAAGCUAAAAGCCUUGAUGGAAAAGAACGGAUUGAAGCCGGAUAGUAUUACCUAUAACACCCUCAUCAAUGGAUUUUGUAAGCAAGGGAAAUUGCAUGACGCGAACAAGGUUUUUAGUGAGAUGAAAGCAGCACGUGUGCCUCCAAAUACUGUAACUUACAAUACUUUAAUAAAUGGAUAUAGCCAGUGGGGUAAUAGUGAGAUGGGAUAUGAACUUUAUGAAGAGAUGCUGAAAGAUGGGGUGAAGGUUGAUAUGGUGACGUAUAAUGCUUUGAUAUUGGGAUUCUGCAAGGAGGGCAAGACUAAGAAAGCAGCCAUUAUGGUUAAAGAACUUGACAAGCAGAAUUUAGCCCCAAAUUCCUCAACCUAUUCUGCUCUUAUUUUAGGGCAGUGCACGAGAAAGAAUUCUGAACGUGCAUUUCAAUUGUACAAGAGUAUGAUAAGAGAUGGUUGUUAUGCAACGAGUAAUACAUACGAGAUUUUGAUCUCUUCUUUCUGUCAGAAUCGUGAUUUUGAUGGAGCAGUUCAGGUUCUGAGGGAAAUGCUAGGGAGAAGUAUGGUUCCUGGUCCUGAAAUUCUCUCUGAGUUGUGCAAUGGGCUUUGCCAAAAUGGAAAUGAAGAUUUGGCUGUAAGCUUGCGCAAUGAGGUUGAAGCUAGAUGUCGUAGCUGAGGCUGAGGGGUUCUGGAGUUACCUCAAGGUUUUAUUUGAAGUCUGAAACAAAUGGCUUUACAGCCUUCACUUGAUGAGUUCCACUUUUGAGUUCUGCUUUGUGAUGUAGGCUGUUUGGGAUAAAUGCUUCUGCCGUUUGCCUGCUUUAAUGUAACCUGCAGUCAGGCAUUAUAUAUGAUAUCUGUGAAUAAAUUAAACAUACUCACCCAUGACAUUGGGAUAGUUUGGUGUGACAGGAGACGGAUGUUGAGAAACUGCAGCAAAGGGAUUAUUCAAAUCUUAAG